UGGUGGAGUGAUUUGUCUGGUUAAUUCCGAUAACGAACGAGACCUUAACCUGCUAACUAGACUCGUCUAUUCCAUAGAUGAAGUCUUCUUAGAGGGACUAUGCUACGAUGAGUACAUGGAAGUUUGAGGCAAUAACA
rnacentral:rRNA from 1 species